UACGUAGGGGGCAAGCGUUGUCCGGAUUUAUUGGGCGUAAAGAGCGUGUAGGCGGCUGGGUAGGUCCGUUGUGAAAACUCGAGGCUCAACCUCGAGACGCCGAUGGAAACCCUCCAGCUAGAGUCCGGAAGAGGAGAGUGGAAUUCCUGGUGUAGCGGUGAAAUGCGCAGAUAUCAGGAAGAACACCCGUGGCGAAGGCGGUUCUCUGGGACGGUACUGACGCUGAGACGCGAAAGCGUGGGGAGCGAACAGG
rnacentral:rRNA from 1 species